AACUGAUACUACCUGCGGGAACCUGCGGAAGGAUCAUUACAGGACUCGCAAGACUCCUUACACCCUGUGAACCUUACUGUAUACGCGUUGCUUCGGCGGGUCCGCCCGCCGGCAGCAUACCACAUUCUGUUUCUCUGCGUUGGCAUCUCGAGAAAAAAGCAAAUAAGUUAAAACUUUCAACAACGGAUCUCU
rnacentral:misc_RNA from 1 species